rnacentral:rRNA from 1 species
UAAAAGUCGUAACAAGGUUUCUGUAGGUGAACCUGCAGAAGGAUCAUUAGUGAAGAUUUGGGCAGGCCAUACGGACGCCAAAAAGUGUCCCUGGCCGCCUACACCCACUAUACGUCCACAAACCCGUGUGCACUGUCUUGGAGAAAGGCUUCAGAGAAGUUUUUUGUGGCCUCUCUUGGGGUCUUUCUUCGCUACAAACUCGAAUGGUUAGUAUGAACGUGGAACUUGGUUGGACCGUCACUGGCCAACAAACUAUACACAACUUUCGACAACGGAUCUCUUGGUUCUCCCAUCGAUGAAGAACGCAGCGAAACGCGAUAGGUAAUGUGAAUUGCAGAAUUCCGUGAAUCAUCGAAUCUUUGAACGCACCUUGCGCUCUAUGGCAAUCCGUAGAGCAUGCCUGUUUGAGUGCCAUGAAAUCUCCCACCCCAAGCGGUUUUUAAAUGAAACGGCUUGGCGGAUGGGGUCUGGAUGGGUGCCUCUGCCUGCGCUACCUAGCACAGGCUCGCCCGAAAUGCAUGAGCGCCUUGAGACACUUUGCAUCCGCCUCUCUGUUUGGGAGGAGGCGGCCAAGCAGUGUUUUUCUCCUGGCAUGGCAUGAUACGUCAUUUGCUAUGUCGCCUAAAGGAGGAAUGUUUGGUUGUGUCUGCGUGUGCUUCGAACUUGCCUCUGUGGCACAUCCCAAUUUCACUUCUGGUCUCAAAUCAGGUAGGAUCACCCGCUGAACUUAAGCAUAUCAAUA